rnacentral:lncRNA from 1 species
AAGAAUAAUGCUAUCUGUGCUUACAGUGAACACAUGACUUGAAAAAUUUCAUUUCAACGAAUUUUACCCCUCGCACAGAUAGCUUUAUUUUUUGUGCAAAAUCAUUUGUAUUCUGUUUUCCUUACAAAAAAAAUCUAACAGAGUGGAAACAUGACGCAAGUAAAUUCUCUAUUUCUAACAUCUACCAGUGCUCUUGUUUCUGUUCCAUCCAGUAUGAUCGGCCAUUUAAAAAAAAAUCUUAGAUUCUUUUGAAAAACUCAAAAAU